rnacentral:rRNA from 1 species
AUUGAACGCUGGCGGAAUGCUUUACACAUGCAAGUCGAGCGGCAGCGCGGGGGCAACCCUGGCGGCGAGCGGCGAACGGGUGAGUAACAUAUCGGAACGUACCCAGUCGUGGGGGAUAACUAUCCGAAAGGAUAGCUAAUACCGCAUACGUCCUGAGGGAGAAAGCGGGGGAUCGCAAGGACCUCGCGCGAUUGGAGCGGCCGAUAUCGGAUUAGCUAGUUGGUGGGGUAAAGGCUCACCAAGGCGACGAUCCGUAGCGGGUCUGAGAGGACGACCCGCCACACUGGAACUGAGACACGGUCCAGACUCCUACGGGAGGCAGCAGUGGGGAAUUUUGGACAAUGGGGGCAACCCGUGAUCCAGCCAUUCCGCGUGAGUGAAGAAGGCCUC